rnacentral:rRNA from 1 species
UAUUGCACAAUGGGCGCAAGCCUGAUGCAGCCAUGCCGCGUGUGUGAAGAAGGCCUUCGGGUUGUAAAGCACUUUCAGUCAGGAGGAAAGGUUAGUAGUUAAUACCUGCUAGCUGUGACGUUACUGACAGAAGAAGCACCGGCUAACUCCGUGCCAGCAGCCGCGGUAAUACGGAGGGUGCGAGCGUUAAUCGGAAUUACUGGGCGUAAAGCGUACGCAGGCGGUUUGUUAAGCGAGAUGUGAAAGCCCCGGGCUCAACCUGGGAACUGCAUUUCGAACUGGCAAACUAGAGUGUGAUAGAGGGUGGUAGAAUUUCAGGUGUAGCGGUGAAAUGCGUAGAGAUCUGAAGGAAUACCGAUGGCGAAGGCAGCCACCUGGGUCAACACUGACGCUCAUGACGAAA